rnacentral:misc_RNA from 1 species
CUCAAUACCAGUUAUGUUACAUUGAUCCUGGAGUGGCAAGUGGGGAUGAGAUGGAGAAGCUCAAGACAAUGGAUAGUGCCUUUAUUGAAUUCUAGAAGAAAAAUUUGAAGCUCUGCGCUUCCUUUUCCUUCGUUUCAUAAUGUAUUUUAACCUCAUUCCUUUUCUUUUGAUGCUGAAAAUGAGUGCAUACCCAUUUGCUAAACCAUUAAAGAGAAAUGGUACUGUAGCCUGUAAUGUGCAUCUUUUUUUUUCUAGGUUAUACCAGCUUCAGAACUUGAGUUAGCUUUAAGAAAUACAAACAAUAAG